UACGUAGGGCGCAAGCGUUGUCCGGAAUUAUUGGGCGUAAAGAGCUCGUAGGCGGUCUGUCGCGUCCGUUGUGAAAACUCGAGGCUCAACCUCGGGCUUGCAGUGGAUACGGGCAGACUAGAGUGCGGUAGGGGAGACUGGAAUUCCUGGUGUAGCGGUGGAAUGCGCAGAUAUCAGGAGGAACACCAAUGGCGAAGGCAGAUCUCUGGGCCGUAACUGACGCUGAGGAGCGAAAGCAUGGGGAGCGAACAGG
rnacentral:rRNA from 1 species